AGAUUGAACGCUGGCGGCAUGCUUUACACAUGCAAGUCGAACGGUAACAGGCCGCAAGGUGCUGACGAGUGGCGAACGGGUGAGUAAUGCAUCGGAACGCGCCCAGUCGUGGGGGAUAACGCAGCGAAAGCUGUGCUAAUACCGCAUACGAUCUAUGGAUGAAAGCGGGGGACCGAAAGGCCUCGCGCGAUUGGAGCGGCCGAUGUCAGAUUAGCUAGUUGGUGGGGUAAAGCCCACAAGGCGACGAUCUGUAGCUGGUCUGAGAGGACGACCAGCCACACUGGAACUGAGACACGGUCCAGACUCCUACGGGAGCAGCAGGUGGGGAAUAGUGGACAAGUGGGAC
rnacentral:rRNA from 1 species